UACGGGGGGGGCAAGCGUUGUUCGGAAUUACUGGGCGUAAAGGGCUCGUAGGCGGCCAACUAAGUCGGAUGUGAAAUCCCCAGGCUUAACCUGGGAACUGCAUCCGAUACUGGAUGGCUUGAAUCCGGGAGAGGGAUGCAGAAUUCCAGGUGUAGCGGUGAAAUGCGUAGAUAUCAGCAGGAACACCCGUGGCGAAGGCGGCU
rnacentral:rRNA from 1 species